rnacentral:lncRNA from 1 species
GAUAGUGUUUGGUUCAUGUUAAGAUAAUGUAAACGUAAAGGAAAUCAGAUUACAGUGUAUUUGGAGGGUGGAAUAGGUGAUUGCCCUCUUUGUUUGGUUGCACUCUGGCAACGUAAUCAGAUUACUGUGUGGGUGCUAUAUCUGAUUACGGUGGGGGAGGAGGGGUAACAAGCUUGUAUAUAUAUUAUUUAGGUAAGGGAUUCGAUUACAGUGUCAAUUGAUUACAAACCACCGCAACCAAACAUAUGUAAUGGGAUUCGUUACCUUCAGUAAUCAGAUUACGUUACAUUUGAGCCAACCAAACACUACC